AUGCUGCGAGGCAUGGGGUUUGACGAUACAACCUUCCUCUACGUUGUCUCCGGUAAAAUAUACAAUGCUGCAAAAUACAUGGUCCCCCUUCGCCAGAUGUUCCCUCUUUUACAAACCAAGGACACUCUUGCAUUGUCUGAAGAGCUUGCUGAGUUUGAGGGGUACUCCUCUUGGUUAGUAGCAUUAGAUUACACCGUCUGUGUUCAGAGCGAAGUGUUUGUGACGACUCAAGGGAACUUCCCUCACUUUUUGAUGGGACACAGGCGUUACCUGUUAGGAGGGAAUGCAAAGACAAUAAAACCCGACAAACGGAAGCUGGUCUUAUCUUUUGACGACCCAAAUAUCAGAUGGAGUCGAUUCAAGCACCACAUGCUGGAAAUACUGCACCAUAGUGACAUAAGGGGCAUCGCAUUCAGGAAACCUAAUGAUUCCAGAUACACCUUACCAAUGCCUGAUUGCAUGUGCCAACAAGAUGGAACAUGA
rnacentral:rRNA from 1 species